AGCUGGUCUGAAGGUAAUGAGUUAUCUCAAUUGAUUGUUCACAGUCAGUUACAGAUCGAACUCCUUGUUCUACUCUUACCCCCUUCUCACUACCUGCACUUGACUAGUCUAAA
rnacentral:Y_RNA from 1 species